CAGGAAGGCACUUAUGCCUCUGAGUUAUAUCCCUGGAAAAUAUAUGUAUUUUAAUAAAACUGCAGAUUGGACUUCAACCCUCUUUACACCCUCACCUUCCUUAAAAAACCCUUUAUGUAUAUAGCAUAUUAGAUAUUUUAUAUCAUGCUAAAGGAUAUUUACAAGAACAUGUAACUAUAGACUCCGUGUUUUUGCUUUGAAGCCCCCCUUUUAAGUUGAUCUUGUGGAACAACAGCACUGAGUAGGACUUCAACUGAGAAACAAUUCCAUGCAGAUGUGCUUAGAUUGUCCACAUAAAAUAAGCAUCAAGAAAAAAAAUUAUCUGAGGUGAACACUCAAGUAAUAAGACACAUAGCUACAUCCACAAUAAGAGGGUUGGGUUUAUCAACAUUAUCCAAGGAUAUGUGACUUGAUAUUUCAAGGACUUGUCAUCUGCAUUCUGAAACGUUGUGAGAUAGGUAAAGUUGGUCUAAUAGGUGUCCAUUCAUUUUAACAAAAACAUGAUAAGUACAGUGACCUACUUUCAUGAGGGUGUGUGUGGUACUGGGGAUUGAACUAGGAUACAAUGAGGCCUUUGUAUCCUUAGCCCUUGUAAAAUUUUGUUUUAUUUUGAAACAAGGUCUCAUUAUGCUCCCCAGACAAGACACAAACUUGCAAUCCUCCUGCGUCAGCCUCCCAGAGUGCUAGAAUUACAAACACAUAGGGGCAUGUCCAGCUUGAUCUGUUAUUUUUGUUUGAAUGCACAACUUGCCUGCUAAGGCAUUUCCUGAAUCUUUGUGAAAGUAGUAAAUGUAUGUUUUAGGUCCCCUUAGCUUUUGGGAUGAUGUGGGUCUGUAUGGCUUGAUAAAAUUCUGUAUGUUUCUCCUUAAAGCCAAUUUAAAUUGUUUCUUGUUAACUUUUGCUUUUUGAUAAUAAUAAUAAUUGAUUCUUGUCCUGCAGAGGGAAGACCUGGGCCAGUGGAGCCAGCGAGAUUAACUUGGCCUUCAUGUCCUCCAGGGAGCAGUCUAGCACCUGUGAAAGUCCACUGCAGGAGGAAAACGGUUCCAAGGUAGGACUCUCUCAUCCUAAUCCAGAGGCUCAGGAUGAACUGUUGGCCCUUUUCUUCCUCUUAGAAGCCCACAAGACCAGUAUAAGGACACCAGAUGGAGAAUCAGAAAACAUGAAUUCUGGUCAGGCACGGUAGUGCAUGUCUGUCACCCCAGCGCGGGGCGGUGGAGGCAGGAGGAUCGCCAGGAGUGUCGGGCCAGCCUGGGCCAUGAGUUCAAGGCUAGCCUGACUACGCAGGGAGACAAGUUCUGUUAGUGGUCUGAAACAGGGUGCAUUAGGGCAGCCAUGUAGUUCACCAUCCAAACUGUGACAUUACUGAAGGGGGAGGGGCACUGAGAAUGAUGACACCGGGGCAACGGAGGACACAGACACGAACUGAAACUGCCCUCAGCAAACUGGGGUACACGGUCACUUUGGGCCACAAGACGUUCUCUACGAAACAGUGAUGCUAUGAUCAGUGAGCUAUUUCCAAUGUUUACCUUUAAACCCUAAUGAUUAGGGUUGGCAGAUUACUGUUUUUAAAAAUAAUGUAUAAAGAGGUUUCAAAUACCAAGAGCCAAAGCUUAAAAGCACGCCUCUUUAAAACUUUUCUUAGACGACUUUUUACAGAAAGGAAUCAAGAAAUUACUUCCUCAUUCCCAGCAGUUUUGUGAAUACGUUGCCCUGCAUGCAUUCCUUCCUCUUUUCAACCACCAGAAGGUAUUUUCAUGUUGUGUAUUUGGUUUUAAAGAAGCCAUACCGCCCCUGGUAUGUCUCUCUAUUUCACGCGUGGGGAAGAGGAAAAGGGACGGGGAGGCAGCACAGGCGGGAUGGAGAUGAGACAUGAAGACUCCAGGAGAGGACACUUCCCGUUUCUGCUUUUGGUGCACCCGAGAUGCACAAAACCAGCCUUCGUUCCGGGAUACUUCACACAUUGUGACGCCGUCGCAAGUGUGAUUCUCACCUUGUUUGCAAGCGUCCCUACGAUACGGUUUCUGAGACAAGCCAGCUAGGUCUGGGCCUGCUUGACCUGAGACCUUCCUCUGUUCUCGAACUCAAGGCAGUUGACACCUGCAGGCAGCACGUCCCACAUGCCACCGUGCCUCUAGACAGGUCGUGCUCUUAUAAUCUCCUUAGAAAUGCUUGCCACUCAAAAGUAUGCCAGGCCCUUUUUGCCUUGAACAAAGAAUCAGAGGAGACAAGCCAGUAACAUUGCCAAAAAGUCUGUUUAAAAAGCAUGCGGUGAAUUGGGCCAAAGCAAAAAAGAAGGUAAAAGCAAAAAUAGAAGUACACGCUGCAUCUGAGAAACGGAGCAUGGACUGUUGUGGAAACUCACCCAGGAUGGCAUCUUUCCACGACGGCCGCUCUUCUUUUAUGACGCCCACACCCCUUGGGAGCUCUGGGACCUACUGAAAUGAACAGACGCUCUCACACGACUGACCUCGUUACUGCUCACCAUGAUUAACGCGAGGCACAAGAGGACCAAGCAAACACUGAAUGCUUAGCAUUCAAGGACCUAAGUUAAUAAAAGUAGCUGGCUCUUAAGAACUGCGUUUGAAGUUAUAUCAAAAACUGAAAAUUUCAUGAUGUGACUUGUCCGAAGUUCCGAUUUGGGAGUUUUCCUCUUCCAAACUCAAAAUACUGUGAAGGAAAUGUUGCCUUCAUUUGAAUUUCUUCUCUACCCCAAAUCCCACCUCCAAAGGAAAACCACAUUUGUGUCACCAUAAAUUCAAAACGUUCCCACUGGAGAUGCUACCACUUCACAUGACCGUCUUGGCAAGUGUGCCUCACGGGAGAGUACUAAUUACUUUGCAUAUGCAGUUUUCCUUUAAAUACAUGUCAGUUAUGCAUUAUUUGACAUUCUAAGAGUCAAUACAUACCAAAUAUAGGAAAUUUUAUAGAAAAUAAUUUUUAAACGUACUGAUACUAAAAUGUUUAGUUUUGGGGGGGCUGGUACUGGGACUUGAACUCAGGACCUUGUGCUUGCCAGGUAGGUGCUUAUGCCACUGAGCUAUAUCUCCAGCCCUAAAAUGUUUAGUUUUUAAGAUAUAUAAACCACAAAUUUUGAGAUAAUCAAAAACUCAGGAUGAAAACAGGUAAUCAAGGAAGAGUUAAAGGUAAACAUUUCUACUUCCAGGCAAUCGUUAUUCCUAAACAAAACCAAAAAGCUUCCUAUUAAAAUAAUGGCAAAUGUGUAACAUUAUUAAUUGCUUCUAAUUUAUAGUGAACUCUUCUAUCCCAUUUAUUAAAGGUUCUUGAGAUGGUAAAGGAAAAUUGUGCAUAUACAGUGCACUUACGCUAUUAAUUCUUGUAUAGGCAAGUAAGACAUACUAUAAGACAUGGUAUCUAAAAAUUCCCUAUCAAUGUAAAAAAUCUACCUCAACUUAUCUAAAUGGAAUUCUGAGAACAUAAAGACAUAUUAAAGUAAAACUCUAAACUGGUGUGGUGAUGCACACCUGUAACCCCAGCACUCGGGAAACUGAGGCAGAGGGAUCACUGCGAGUUCAAAGUCAGCCUGGUGAACUACAUAGCAAGAGCAUGUCUUAAAGAAAAGUAAAUUCAAUUUCUAUUUCUUUAAGCUAAGCAUCUCACAAACGUAGUAUCACAGUUUUAAAGAUAGCAUACAGUAUUUAUUUUACCAAUGUAAGUCUGUAAAUGUCAGAUAAUAUUCAUCUCCUAUUUCUGUAAAUUCUUUCUGAAAUAUUUAGUAAAAAAAGACUAUUAAAAAAGGAGAGCAGGGAGAAAUGUAGCAGAAUUGUAACUAGAACUGCCUAAACUGAAAAUACUACUUCAUUUAUUUGCUAAUAAGGUUGUGGAAAAAUACUGUUUUAAUUAAUUCCUUCUUUAUCUCUCUUUAAAGACAUUUUACCUCUUCAACUAGCAGACCGAGGAUUAGUGCUACUGGCCUUCUGCGAAAACCUGGUUUCCAGAGGAGUCAGACCUUCCAACCCCAAGCUGGCUCUGCCUGACUGAUUUUAAAGUGCGCACCAGCGAUCUUCCUGAAACAAGACUGUGUGCCUUUCAGAACAUUCACAUUUAACCGUGAGAGCUCCCUUACAGAGAUUCAUCCACAAAACAAUUAACUUUAUUUGUCAAAUGUCAGGGAAAAAAUUUUAUUGUAAGGAAUUAAGCAAGUGGGAUCAAAGAAGCCAAAAUAUCAGUAAAAAAUGUAUUUAAGGGAAUGUAGUUAAAGGAAUAAAUGCAGGUGUAUCACACACACCUAAUAGCCUUCCUAAGCACCAGAAAGCACUCACCGAAGCACCUAUAAAGCUGCCCCACUUUUCAGUUUCCCUGUGCUCGAGAUUCUGAUGAUCAGUUAAGGGCAAGUCUUUGUGACACAACAGACUUCCUUCAAUCAAGGUCAUAAUUUGAAAUAUUAUACAAUAAUGGGAUUUAAAUUAUUUAUGGGAAGAAAGUAGGAGACUGAAAAUAAGGUAUCAGAAACCCCUAGGUAUUUUUAGAGUCAGAAAAAUAUAGCCAGAGGCCAAUAUCCUUCUAAAAGAGGAAGGACAAGAGCAGCUGCCGGAGUGUGACUUCUCCCCAGCAUACCCAAAGCAACAUGGCCACUGGGACCCCGGCCUGACUGCUUACUCUCAGAUAAUCCCCGGGAGGAAAUCGGGCCAGCACUUUUGUGUAUUCAAGAGACAGGGUCUCUUUCUGCUGCCCGGACUGUCUCCAAACUCUCGAGCUCAAGGGAUCUUUUUGCCUCAGCUUCCUGCGUAGCUGGGAUUACACACAUGCAGCAGGGCACUGGGCUUGCACUACUUUGCUUCUUGAGAGGCUGAACCCUUAGAUACAAAUACGCAGGAAGGGGGUCUUCAACUGCUCACUUUCCAGCCUACGGUAUUUGGAUACAACCAUCAUCCAGAUAAAUAAAUCUUGAGAGAGAAGAUAACAGCAGUAAUUCACACUCUCAGUUAACCAGUUUAGUGGCACUCCCUUCUGAACAGUUCUUUGAAUAAAAAGCAGCAGUCGAGUGCAAGCAGUCCCUCUGAAUACCUGUCCAGUAAAUUAACAAAGACUUACUAACCAGUUCUAGAAUCCUAAGUAACAACACGACCUGUGUGAUGUGAGAAUAGUGCACGUGAACAAAAAACCCUAAGUUCAAUGUCUUUGCUACCAUAUUUAAAAAAUUAUUUAAAAUUUCAGUUUUAGCUCCUUUGCCUCAACUAUUUUGCUCUGUAAAUAGAUCUUCGUAAGCUGUUAAAUGGCAAAAAGAAGAC